CAGAGUUGCAAAACUCCCUAAACACUUGUGAACCUACCUGUAUCGUUGCUUCGGUGGGCGGCCCCAGGGCGGGGCUGUAGCCUUUACAGGCGCCUGCCGGAGGUUUUAAACGCUAUAUUUUUUUUUUACUCUGAGCAACUUCAUAAUAAGUUA
rnacentral:misc_RNA from 1 species